rnacentral:rRNA from 1 species
AACGAACGCUGGCGGCAGGCUUAACACAUGCAAGUCGAACGCGUGUAGCAAUACACGAGUGGCGCACGGGUGAGUAACGCGUGGAUAUCUGCCUUUUGGUUCGGAAUAACCCCGGGAAACUGGGGCUAAUACCGGAUGGUUCCUUCGGGAUAAAGAUUUAUCGCCAAAAGAUGAGUCCGCGUACGAUUAGCUAGUUGGUGAGGUAAUGGCUCACCAAGGCGACGAUCGUUAGCUGGUCUGAGAGGACGAUCAGCCACACUGGGUCUGAGACACGGCCCAGACUCCUACGGGAGGCAGCAGUGGGGAAUAUUGGACAAUGGGGGCAACCCUGAUCCAGCCAUGCCGCGUGAGUGAUGAAGGCCUUCGGGUUGUAAAGCUCUUUUGGCGGGGACGAUGAUGACGGUACCCGCAGAAUAAGCCCCGGCUAACUUCGUGCCAGCAGCCGCGGUAAAAC